ensembl:lncRNA
CUCCAUCUUUGCACGUUUGUUGGCCCGGCAAGGCGGAAAUGGUGGCGUAGUAGGUUUUUUGUGUUUUUUUUUUUCCCCCCCUCCAUCCCCUCCCGCCCACAGGGUUGGGGUUUCUGGCUGUGAGUGAGGUUUCUGGAAAUCUCUGUGGAAAGUUAAUGGUAUCUCUCCUCUACAGGGCUAAGAGGAGUCCCAGGCUUGAUAACACGCUGAACAAAGACCUGUCAUGGAACAGACUCUUGCUGAGAUUUAAACUGGAGAGUUUGUGGAUGUGGAGCUGGGCCAGGAUACACAGAGAAAUGUGGGGGAAGAGGGAAGUCACUGAGAAGAAUCAAGAGAUCUUGGUGCUGCUCUCAUUUGCUGUGUGAUGCUGAUCAAGCAACAUAUUGUCUUUAGGAAUCCUGUUAUAAAAUUUGUCCAACAGAACCUACCUCGCAGAAUUACAGAGAAGAAAAAGAAGAGAGUUCUAUAAACCUGAAGAGCGAUCUUUUCAAAAAAUCAUCAGAAGGAAGGAAUUUGUAGAAAUAAAACUGGAAACAUCCAGAAUCUUGAUGGUGUGCCAAACCAAAUGUCAACUGGAGCUCGACCAAAAACUAAAGUAAGUAGCUUUCUUACAGAAUAUUCCAGGUGGAGUGCCAUGCCCCACUCAUGCCAUGAAGAGAGUGCCACAUUUGCACAUUCUCUUUUACUUUUUGUGUUUUAAAUUAAACGUUAACGUUGUCCUGUUUUUCAUUAUAUCAUGAUUUGUAAUGAAAAACAUACAGUUAAUAUUUAUAAAAUUGGGAAAAAAGGAGGGUGUGACUUUGUUAAGAUAAAAUGAUUAGUCUUUUGUGAUGAGUAGAGUCAUUAGCAGUGGAUUGUAUGCACUUCAAUUAGUUUCUUCACUAUGGGUGAAAAUUCCUGCCAAAGCUGAAGAUCUCCUUGAACUAUUAUUACAAAAGUCUUCCUAUUAUGACAGUAUACACCUCAGUGAUCAGGGUUCCAGAAAAGAGGUGUCAGAUUGGGGACUAUACCUGCAAAACAUUAGCUCUAAACAUUAUAUGUACUUUGUUUAAAAGGUCUACCAAGAUAAAUAAUACCCAGGAAUUUGUGUGUGUGUGUUUGGUAUGUUUUUAAUGAGGAAACAUUGACCAGCCAUUCUUAUAGAUACUUUACAACUUUUAAUCAUCUUUAAAAUUUUUUUCCAAAUCUGAGUUUUUCUUUUUCACAUUUUUUAGUUGAAUCCAAAAGUACAUCUUCAUAAAUUCUGAAGCGUUAGAUACAGAGGGAUUUUAGUAAUAACUUGCAAGAUUUUAUAGAAUUGCUUACAGUUUUUGAUUCUAUGAUUCCAUGACUGCCUUACAGUGUGAAAGAGUAAUAAUAAUUUAGUAAGUAAAUAUGAAGAGCAAAUAUUAUGUGUCUUCCUGGCAGGAAGCAGCAGAAACUUUCUAAAUUACUUCAAAAGAGAUACCUUAAAAGAUUACUUAACAAAAGUUUGGGCAAGGUUAAGGGAAAUCAACAACUGUAAGGUGGUUGCCCCGCAAGAUCUUUGGCCUUGGAAGAGGAAUGCAGCUACAGCAAGACCCCAUCUGACAGAGGAGAGGUGGAGGGAGAGAGCCUGCCGUCUCUCUCCCUCCCAGCUUCUACCCUUUCGGAAAAUUAGCUGAACUCAUCAGGACACCAGGAGGGCAGGAGGGAAGGGCACUCACUUACUGUGUUCUUCGGCAACUGAGCCCCACAAAGGAAGAUGGAAAAGAGCAGGGAGUAGUUUUAGAGGGUCAAAUAGAAAAUAUUUGGCACACCUUAAAAAGAGAGUUGUCAGCUACCAUUCUUAAAUGUGUAAUAUGUUCCAGGCACAGUGCUAAGCUC